CCCUUAGAUGUUCUGGGCCGCACGCGCGCUACACUGAUGCGUUCAACAAGUCUCCUUGGCCGAGAGGCCUGGGCAAUCUUCUUAAUAUGUAUCGUGAUAGGGAUAGAUUAUUGCAAUUAUUAAUCUUGAACGAGGAAUUCCUAGUAAACGCAGAUCAUCAAUCUGCAUUGAUUACGUCCCUGCCCUUUGUACACACCGCCCGUCGCACCUACCGAUUGGAUGUUCCGGUGAAGCCUCGGGAUGAGGACUGGUGCCUUUAUUGGCAUGAGUUGUUCAGAACUUGUCUAAACCUUAUCAUCUAGAGGAAGGUGAAGUCGUAACA
rnacentral:rRNA from 1 species